CCUACGGGAGGCAGCAGUGGGGAAUUUUCCACAAUGGGCGAAAGCCUGAUGGAGCAACGCCGCGUGUGUGAUGAAGGUUUUCGGAUCGUAAAGCACUUUCGACCGGGACGAAAAACCUCUGGCUAACAUCCAGGGGCCUGACGGUACCGGGAGAAGAAGCACCGGCUAACUCUGUGCCAGCAGCCGCGGUAAUACAGAGGGUGCAAGCGUUGUUCGGAAUUAUUGGGCGUAAAGCGCGUGUAGGCGGCUUGGCAAGUCAGAUGUGAAAGCCCUCGGCUUAACCGAGGAAGUGCGUCUGAAACUGCUGAGCUUGAGUGUCGGAGAGGAUGGCGGAAUUCCGCAAGUAGAGGUGAAAUUCGUAGAUAUGCGGAGGAACACCGGUGGCGAAGGCGGCCAUCUGGACGACUACUGACGCUGAGACGCGAAAGCGUGGGGAGCAAACAGGAUUAGAUACCCUGGUAGUCCACGCUGUAAACGAUGAGAACUAGGUGUCGUGGGUGUUGACCCCCGCGGUGCCGCAGCUAACGCAUUAAGUUCUCCGCCUGGGAAGUACGGCCGCAAGGCUAAAACUCAAAUGAAUUGACGG
rnacentral:rRNA from 1 species